AACGAACGCUGGCGGCAUGCCUAACACAUGCAAGUCGAACGAGACCUUCGGGUCUAGUGGCGCACGGGUGCGUAACGCGUGGGAACCUGCCCUUAGGUUCGGAAUAACUCCCCGAAAGGGGUGCUAAUACCGGAUAAUGUCUUCGGACCAAAGAUUUAUCGCCUUUGGAUGGACCCGCGUUGGAUUAGCUAGUUGGUAGGGUAAAAGCCUACCAAGGCGACGAUCCAUAGCUGGUCUGAGAGGAUGAUCAGCCACACUGAGACUGAGACACGGCCCAGACUCCUACGGGAGGCAGCAGUGGGGAAUAUUGGACAAUGGGCGAAAGCCUGAUCCAGCAAUGCCGCGUGAGUGAUGAAGGCCUUAGGGUUGUAAAGCUCUUUUACCCGGGAUGAUAAUGACAGUACCGGGAGAAUAAGCUCCGGCUAACUCCGUG
rnacentral:rRNA from 1 species